rnacentral:rRNA from 1 species
UACAGAGGGUGCAAGCGUUGUUCGGAAUUACUGGGCGUAAAGGGCGCGUAGGCGGCCUUCUAAGUCGAACGUGAAAUCCCCGGGCUCAACCCGGGAACUGCGUCCGAUACUGGAAGGCUUGAAUCCGGGAGAGGGAUGCGGAAUUCCAGGUGUAGCGGUGAAAUGCGUAGAUAUCUGGAGGAACACCGGUGGCGAAGGCGGCAUCCUGGACCGGCAUUGACGCUGAGGCGCGAAAGCCAGGGGAGCAAACAGG